UGCUGCCUCAGAGGCGGUGAGCCGAGGGACGUACCACACAUCCGCAUCUUCCCGGUGCAAGAGGGUGUGUGGAAGUCGAACAGAGGUGGGGGGCGCUUGUGUGUGCGUGCGUGUUAGAGGUGCCGUUGAUCACAGGGCAGGUGGUAAGACAAGGCUUGCUUGCCCCCCCCCCCCUCCCCCCACUCCCCACUCCCCACUCCCUUCCCCACACGUGAGCUUACGGACUCUCUCGCUGUGCACGUACAUGAAGUCGCUGGACACCUCUAACUCGCCUUGUUUUUUUUUUUUCUGUUCCCUCCCCCCGCCUACGACGACUGACCACACACAUACACCCACAGGCACGCACGCCAGUCAUCGAGUGCCACAAUGAUGAAGCCAUCGGCACUCGAUCGCAUCCACGUGCGCGAGGAUGAUCCCAAGGAGCUGUUUGAGAUUGUUGAAAGCGUUGGCAUCGGCAACUUUGGUGUCGUUCUCAAGGCCCGCAACCGCGCCACUGACGACAUCGUUGCUAUCAAGCAGGUCCCGCUCAGCGACACGGACAAGGAGGAUCUGGACACCAUUGUGAAGGAGGUGGAGAUCCUGCAGGAGUGUGACCACCCAAACAUCGUGCGCUUCUAUGGCACGUACCAUUCGAUGGGGGUCCUGUGGAUCGUCAUGGAAUACUGCGAGGGCGGCUCUGUGGACACGGCAUACGACCUGCUGCGCCGUCCGCUCUCGGAGCCGCUCAUCGCGUACGUGUGCCGCCAGACCCUCCUCGGCCUGCGCUACCUGCACGAGCGUCACGUCAUUCAUCGCGAUAUUAAGGGCAGCAACUUACUGCUCACCAAAAACGGCCAGGUGAAGCUGGCGGACUUUGGCGUUAGCACGGAGCUCAAGCACACGCUGUCGCGGCGCAACUCCUUCAUCGGCACGGCGCUCUGGAUGGCGCCGGAGGCCCUCACGGAGAAGGACUACGAUAGCCGCGCCGACAUGUGGUCUUUGGGGAUUACCACGAUCGAGCUGGCGGAGGGGCAGCCGCCGUACCUCGGCAUGCACAUUGCCCGCGCUGUCUUCUUCAUCCCUCUCAACGAUCCGCCAACUCUGCAGGCCAAGGAGCGCUGGUCGCCGCAGAUGAACAUGUUCAUCCGCCGCCUGCUAACCAAGGACAAGGAGCUGCGCCCCUCUGCGGCCACGAUGUUGAUGGACCCCUUUGUGGAUCCUUCCGCCGUCGCCUCGCAAGAGGAGAUGGCCGCAGUUGUGGAGCAGCUCCUCACGCGGCGCCGUUCCAUGGAUGAGCGGCGGGACGGCAACAACAAGGGCAGCAACACUUCGGCCAUGACGAUAGUCACACGGACGUCUUCCGUGGUGGGAGCCAUCGAAGGCGCGGGCGAAGAGGAGGGCGAGGGGGUCGCCGCCAUCCCUACCGACGAGGCGGCUGCCCAGUGGAUCGACGAGCACGUGGCGCCGCAGCGAAGAGCUUCGCCAGCUGCUGGUCGGGUAGUUGCGAGAGGUGGUGGAGGGGCCGUGGCUGCAGGGGCUGCCGCUGGCGACCGCGGUGCCCCGCUUGGUGGGCGGCUGAUGCUGCUGCCGCUGCUGCACCUGGAGGACAUGUCCUUUGACGCACUGAGCGGGGGUGGCCGUACCCUGUUCUGCGGCAGCACCGCUGGCGUCAGUGGCUGCGCCGGUACUGUAGGAGGGGCGACGCUGUCGUCCGGUGGCGCGGCAAACGGUGCCGCGGGGGGCGGGCCACGUGUAGGUGGGCCCGGGGCCGCACAGGCGGCGCUAGACGGCGCCUACACGGGAGAGGGCAACGGCAGCACAACCAUGAUGGCCAGCGUGAACCGUUACUGUCACCCGUCGCACCUGUUGCCCACAUCGGGCGGCGGUGGCGUCACCCCGAUGGUGUCUGCGUUCCCUCCGGUGUACGGGCCGCCUUCCCACGAGGCCAGAAUGGCGGCCGCGGCUGCCCAUGGCGACGCGCUAGCCGAAUCGCUCCACUUGCUGGGCUACAGUGCCGAGGGUGUCUCCCCACUGUAUCUCCGCUGCUUCGAGACGACCACGCUGAACACGGUGCGGGAAGUGUUUCUGUACAACCAAUACCUUCCGUAUACACGCGCGGUUUCAGAGGCGGAGGCUAAGCACGCGCAGCGGAUGAAGCUGCUCUGCGGCACGGUGCUGAAAAACGUGUACGCGGCCACGUGUGAAAGCACGCGGAAUGCGUAGAAC
rnacentral:misc_RNA from 1 species